GAGGCGGAGGGCGAGGCGGCGCGGGGCCCCCGCGUUGCUGCGGCUGCGCCGGGUCUGGUGCGAGGCGAGCGAGGAGCUGCUGGGAGAUUGCGCGGUGCACGUCUGGAAGCACAGAAAUUCUCUGCUGCUUCCCAUAUGGCUCAUGGAAGGACCUAAAGGCCCAGACUGACAGAUGUCCUACGACUCCCUCAUCAGUGUGCGUCAGAGGUCUUUUGCGCAAGAAUUGCAAGUAAACUUUCACCAAAGUACCAGGGGGAUUUUGGGCGGCCACCCUUCCAAGCAUCAUGUGUGAACAUGAAGCACGUGCAGUGUGAGAGACAUGCUGUUAUGGAGGCACCUCUUGGUGGCAUGGGUGCAUGAUCUGGCCCAGAACAUUUGUAGUGCAGAGCCCUUCCAAGUCCCCAUUCCAGACGGCACCUGUGCUUCUGAAUAAGAGACUCGAGUGUGGCAUGGGGCAGGAAUUUUUGCCUGCACUGUCAAAGGACUUGGGUGUACCUGAGAGAGGGGAGCCGUCACAGGGCCCUGAUCCUGGGUGCUUUGGGGAAAGGGUCCUCAGAGCACAGCAACGCAGCUUGAAAUGCAGGAAGCCCGCCCUCAUUCCCAGGUGCAACAGCAGGAAGACCCAACACAAGAGCACGUGGUCUUCUCCGUUGAAGAUGCGUUCAAGGCCCCAACAGCAGAAAGCUUUCCAAAAAUGCAAGGCAGAAAUACAGAGGACCACUAAAUGUUAUCUGUGAAAGUUUCGGGUUGCGCGGGGAGGAAAAAGCCCUCCCUGCCUUCUGGCUUGAUCAAGACAGAGAUGCCGGGCUGCCCAUCAUGGAGUGUUCCUCUUUUCCUCUUGCAACCUCCCUAGCUUCCCUUUUAAUAUCUGCUCUCUGCUCAUGCUGCUAACCUUCCUUUCCCAACCGAGCAUUUCCCUCUGCAGACAAACCAUCUUUCAGCUAACUGCAGAAAGAAGCAAUCAUCACAAACUCACAGGGGCUCCUGCUUUCCUACUGCAAGAGCUGGCGUUUUGGGAAGCAGCUCCCCUCGCCUUCACUCAAGCGACUAAUGAAUUCUGGCUGAGAACCCAGGACGGGCAGCAGAAGAUGGAGAUCUGCAUUAAACAUGCUUCUGAACCAAGCACAGACUAAAAACGGAUGCUAUACACAAUUGCGAGUUACUAAUAAACACAUUAAAAAAAAAUUAAAAAGAAUUUGUAGAUAAUUUACACUAUUUAAGAAAUGGCUUCGUAGAGCCCUCCGUUUUAAUUUGAGCCUCUUCACAGUCUGGGUUUUUGCCCCGAGGACAGACCCAGGUGUUGGGAAACGGGCAUGAAACAUAAUGGCAGGGUUAGGCCUCCCCUCCACCAAUUGCACAUGGGCCCUGGAUCGUGGCCAGUGUGUCAACGUAUUUUUUUCAGCCUGGGUUUUCCCAUAAGCAAGUUUCAGACCGGGUGCCUCUCCCUAGACUGCAAAACACCCCCAAUGCCGUCCUCCAAUUACUUUUUACUUGUCUCUUGGUAGCCAUUGCGGGGGUACGUGUAGGUUUCUGGCUGCAUAGCCUUAAACAAAUCCUAUGCCUUGUUGCCAGGUUUAAGUAACAAAUAGCACCAUUAAAAAAUAACAUAAAAUAUAUGGCUUUUAGAGUCAGUUCUGUUGAAUUCUCCCUGGCCACAAAAAGUAUUCUGAGCUUCCAUUGAGCUUGCAGUGCGUUGCAUAUAGAAGGCAAAAUGUGUCCCUCUUCCAAUCUAGCCGAGCGCUCCAGAGAAGAGCCCUCAAAGCGGGCAGGAAAGCCAGAUUCACUCUUUACAAAAAGCGUGCCCAGGCCUCAUGUCCAUUACAACAUAUUCUCCGUGAAGACAGCACUGGCUGCCCUUCCAAACCAGCAGCGUAUGUCUCUUCCAGAAAGGGAGUGGUGAGGCUAGGCAGUAUAUAUCCUAUCCCUCUCAGCCUCCAGCCUGUUCACCGGAGGUAAACUUUUAUCAGCACAAAACAGCUGUAGGGAAAGAGGCCGCCCUGGGAGAAGAGUCCAUCAACAAGGCAAAGCAGGGAAGUUAUGCCCAGGUUUUGCCAGGAUAGGCCAAGGUUUUGCCACUACUGAGAGGCACCUCUUGGCAUUAUUACAUUUCCUGA